AUCAGAGUAUGUUCACCUCUGUAAGAUUUCUGAUAAUUACGCAGUGACAUCAUCAGAUUUUUAUUCCAACGGCAAAGAGAUGGAAUUUGGCUGAGAAUCAUUGCAAAUUCACAAUGUUGCUACUAAAACUGUGCAGUCGGUUUUCCUCUUAUAUGCUGAACACCACAAGAAAACAGAGAAACACAUCUGUUCUGUUAACUCAGUGUUUUUACAAAUAUGGUUCAUUUACAACAGUGAAUUCAUUCAGCAAUCAAGUUACUGCAGCCGGAAAAAGAAAUGUAUACAUAUUCUCCCAAAGAACAUUUCAUGAUUCCUCAAAAGUUUUAAAAUUAUUAGGAACCACACGGCCCUUAAAUCCGCCUGGUAAGGUCAGGAGAAAUAGAAGAAGGUCUGGCUCACAGAGUGGGGUCAAACUGCAAGUAACAGCAUAUCAAACAUCAAAGGAGGACUUUGAUUUUGACCUGUUGGAGCGGAAUUUGGAAAGUCAGAAUCUUUAUAAGGUUUCUGACAUCCCCCCAGGUUAUUUUCUUGUGUUUUUUUUUCAUUCAUAUUUUAUUGUUUUUUCUUAAAAUUGUUUUCCAUUCCUAUAUUACAAUCAUUCCACUAAUGUCUUUGAUACUGUAACUAUCUUUCUUUGUUUGGACAGAUAUGGAGGAUGUUUUACAUUGCACACCAAUUUAUCCUGUAGAGGAGCAUCAGAAAGAAAUAUUUUUCACUAAACAGGGAUCAGUUGUUUUCUGGGAUGUCCCUGAAAGAGAGAGACAUGAGGUGUUACAGUUCUUGAAAAAUUUGGAUCCUGAGAAUGCGUUUGAUGAUAAAUUCAUUGAAGACGAAUCUGAAAGCAUGAUGGUAACAUUAAGUGAUAAGGAAACAUGUAUCCUGGACAGCAAUACCAUAAACAUGAACAAAGAGGUUUACUGUCAGCAGCAGGGACAGCUGGAGAAAUAUGCCUGCUCCAAUGCCCUGAUGCAAUCUUUACACUUAUCAGCAAUGGAAAAACUGUUGGAGGAUUUUAUUGAUGACACAGAACAUCUCUCAAUGGACUUGAAAGCUGGUAGACGGAUUCGUAUCAGACACAGAGAAGUUCAGCAACAUCUUGGCAAAUUAUUUGAAUUCAGGAAAAAUUUGAAUUUGUGCUCUGACCUGCUGGAUACCCCUGAUUUUUACUGGGAUCGGGAUGAUUUAGAAAAACUGUACCUGGAAAUUUGUAGAUUGAUGCAGACCAAAUACAGGACCAAGGUAAUGAACGAGAAGCUGAACUACUGCAUUGAGCUGAUGGAGCUACUGAAUAACAAGUUCACUGAUGCCAGACACACCAAGCUGGAGUGGAUGAUCAUUGUGCUCAUCAUGAUAGAGGUGGUUUUUGAAGUGGUGCACUUGUAUAGGAAUGACUAUGACUGGUUUGUUGGGAUUAUGAAUUCCAAGACUGCUGACAAAUGAGUUGUGGACUGGUGAUAUUACUGGACGAGAUGACAGUGACUGUACACACAGCAUUUAAGUGAUUGUGUACAGAAAGCUGCCAUAUAUUCUUGUCUUAUACAAAUUGGUGUGUGAUAUUGAUAUAAAGAGUUUUUAAUAAAACUUUUAAAGUGU
rnacentral:misc_RNA from 1 species